UACAGAGGUGGCAAGCGUUGUUCGGAAUUACUGGGCGUAAAGGGCGCGUAGGCGGCCUUCUAAGUCAGACGUGAAAUCCCCCGGCUUAACCUGGGAACUGCGUCUGAUACUGGAUGGCUUGAGUAUGGGAGAGGGAUGUAGAAUUCCAGGUGUAGCGGUGAAAUGCGUAGAUAUCUGGAGGAAUACCGGUGGCGAAGGCGGCAUCCUGGACCAUUACUGACGCUGAGGCGCGAAAGCUAGGGGAGCAAACGGGG
rnacentral:rRNA from 1 species